rnacentral:lncRNA from 1 species
CAACACAAAUGUGGAUCUUAUAUUUGCCACGUCAUCACUUAACGGUUUACUUAGCAGAUUUUCUAACAGAUGUAUGAAAUUGAAAUAAAAUGAUAAGUAAAUGUAUAAAAUUAAAAUGUUUUGAAGAUGUUGUAAGAAAUUAAAAUUGACCCCAAACCUAAGGGGGUAAUAUGUAAUUUACCCUUUAAUUAUUUAUUAAAUAUUUCAAAUAAUAAUAAUUUUUUAUAUUUUAUAAAAAAAAUUAUCCACGUGGCGCAAAGUUGACAUCCACCUCAUUAAAAAUUGGGUCCCAUAUCUGCCACAUCAUCACUUAACAGCCAAUCUAAUAGAUUAUGUAACAAAUUGUAAUGUUUUAAAGAUGAUAUAUGAGGUUGUAAUCGCACUUGGGUGCAAAAUGUAUGUAAUUUAACCUUUUUUAAAUUAUCAAAUUAAAGUUGAGUUGUAUUUGUUAAUGCAGAAUAUUAUUGUCAUCAACUAUUGAAUAAAUUUGUUGUGCAACAGCUUCACUUUGAUAUUAAUAUCGAUUAGUUAUUGAAUUGACAAAUAAAUUUUCUUGUUCUUGUUGUUGGAAUGUUUUCCUUUUAUUUAUAUUUAUUAGUGACAAAUGAUUAUCAAUUUAAUCUAUUUUAGGUCGCAUUGUUUUAUGCACACACUAUUUUGAGUCGAUUGUACAAAUAAAAGGAGGAUCAUGACCAAAAUUAAAAGAAGAAUUAUAUGAACAAAAAUGAUGCGAUUUUUCCAUGAAACUACAUUUUUGUUCUACUUUAUCCUCUGAAGAUGGAUUUGUCUUAUUUUACCUCUUGAAACAACCAAAUUCGAGUCAUUUCACCCUAUUUAUGUGAAUUAUGUCUCAUGAACGUCAAAUGAAAGCAUAGCUUGUGCAUUUCAUACCAUGUUGACAGAGAUGAGCCAUUGUGGUUAGUAAGAUAUGAAAAUUUUCAGACUACCUUAAACCUCUUAAAGUGCCAAAUCUUUGCCACCA